GACGAACGCUGGCGGCGUGCCUAAUACAUGCAAGUCGAGCGGACGAAUCGAAAGCUUGCUUUUGAUUCGUUAGCGGCGGACGGGUGAGUAACACGUGGGCAACCUGCCCUGUAGACGGGGAUAACACCGAGAAAUCGGUGCUAAUACCGGAUAACACGAAAUGUCGCAUGACGUUUCGUUGAAAGACGGCGCAAGCUGCCGCUACAGGAUGGGCCCGCGGCGCAUUAGCUAGUUGGUGAGGUAACGGCUCACCAAGGCAACGAUACGUAGCCGACCUGAGAGGGUGAUCGGCCACACUGGGACUGAGACACGGCCCAGACUCCUACGGGAGGCAGCAGUAGGGAAUCUUCCGCAAUGGGCGAAAGUCUGACGGAGCAACGCCGCGUGAGCGAAGAAGGCCUUCGGGUCGUAAAGCUCCGUUGUUAGGGAAGAACAAGUAACGCAGUAACUGGCGUUACCGUGACGGUACCUAACGAGAAAGCCACGGCUAACUACGUG
rnacentral:rRNA from 1 species